UACGUAGGGGGCAAGCGUUGUCCGGAAUCAUUGGGCGUAAAGCGCGUGUAGGCGGCUCGAUAAGUCUGCUGUGAAAGUCCAAGGCUCAACCUUGGGAUGCCGGUGGAUACUGUCGAGCUCGAGUCCGGAAGAGGAGUGUGGAAUUCCUGGUGUAGCGGUGAAAUGCGCAGAUAUCGAGGAGGAACACCAAUGGCGAAGGCAGCACUCUGGGACGUGACUGACGCUGAGACGCGAAAGCGUGGGGAGCAAACAGG
rnacentral:rRNA from 1 species